rnacentral:rRNA from 1 species
AUACGGAGGGUGCAAGCGUUGUCCGGAUUUAUUGGGUUUAAAGGGUGCGUAGGUGGCGUGUUAAGUCAGUGGUGAAAGCCUGCAGCUCAACUGUAGAGGUGCCAUUGAUACUGACAUGUUUGAGUAUGGACGAGGUAGGCGGAAUUUGUGGUGUAGCGGUGAAAUGCAUAGAUACCACAAAGAACACCGAUAGCGAAGGCAGCUUACUGGACCAUAACUGACACUGAGGCACGAAAGUGUGGGUAGCGAACAGGAUUAGAAACCCUUGUAGUCC